rnacentral:rRNA from 1 species
AACGUAGGAGACAAACGUUAUCCGGAGUUACUGGGCGUAAAGGGCGUGUAGGCGGUUUGUUAAGUCUGGCGUGAAAGCUCUCGGCUAAACCGGGAGAGGUCGUUGGAUACUGGCAAACUAGAGGACGGUAGAGGCGUGUGGAAUUCCGGGUGUAGUGGUGAAAUGCGUAGAGAUCCGGAGGAACACCAGUGGCGAAGGCGGCAUCCUGGACCAACACUGACGCUGAGGAGCGAAAGCCAGGGGAGCAAACGGG